UAGUGGGGAGAUCGGCGGAGUCGGCGGCCNACCGCCGAACGGACAGAGCCUCCCCUGUACGUUCUAGGCGUCACAAUCUAUACAAUGCGAUACAAGAGGUUCCAAACAGGAACUGUAUUCAACCACAGAUUGCAUAGUAUCAAAAACAUAAAAUGCUAACUACGCUAUUACAAGCAUUCAACUCACAGAUUCUUUAGACAUUUACAAUAGUUUACAUUUACAUAACCAAAUGUGCCUUUAAGUUAUUACAAACUUAUACAAAUUACUACAAAUUUGUUUCUUUCCAAUUGGAACUCUGAGCUGGACCUCUUCAGGGUACUUCUAUCACUGGUCUCGGUGGUAGGGCGCUAUCUACGGAGCUACGCCCUGUCCUCGCGCCGCUGCGCCGCUCACGUGUAACCUGUACCCCCAAAACAACACGGGGGUGAGAACUAUAUAAAUAUAGUUCCCAGUGGGUACGGCCACCCAAGGGAAAAGCUCGACCCACCAGGUCCAAAGGAGGCAACAGUAGGUUAGUUCAACAAAUAGAUAGAUAGAUAUUUGACUAAGCAAUAAAUAAAACCAUACCUUGCCUCGCUGCUAUGCAAUAUGCAAUACCUGUCAAUCAUGUAAGUAGAUUACUUGAUUCUACUUUAUAUCUUUAACCAUUCUUUACUUAUAGCCGUUCUUUUAUUUCUUAGCUAUUCUCGUUCAUUAGCUAAUUUCAUUAUCGUUCAUGUUUUGCUCUUUAUUCUUUGUACUUGUACUUGGUGUUCUACACCUUAAACUUGGGCCCACUAUAUUCAUUGGCAAAUUCUUACUUAAGGUUGCUCUUACCUUAAUCUCACUAUGCCACCCGACUCGGUCUUGAGUCAAUCGAUCGCGGAUAGUCCGCACACUGUCUAGCUCGAGUUGAAGGAAUUCUCACAUGCACCUCAGCUGGCGACAGCUCACCGUACUCAUGUUCUAGCUGUCUGGCGGCGAACGAGUCGCACCUCACCCAACAACAGCCUAGGUCAAUGACUUAGCCACCUGGUGGCGAAAUCGUCGCACACGCCACGACAGUGGUUCAGUCAACAGGCGGUAGGAUCCACAAGCUGGCUUAACCAUCUGGCGGCGAAAUCGUCGCACACGCCGAACAAUGGUUCAAGCCUCCGGGUGGUGGACACUGCGCACACACCCAAUCCUGCCUUGGUAUCAAUCUCGGCGGCAAAAUCGUCGCACACGCCCUAGCCUUGAUACCAAGGUUAUAAUAGAUCUUGGGAUUCCGGAAUCCAUUUCCACAACUUGAGGGUUUACUCACUUUACCCUAUGUUGACGACCCUCCUAGGUUGAUACCAAUCCUUUCCUAGUGGUCGCUAUACCACUAAUAUUCCCAACUUAGUUCAAAUGUACUAAGUCUUACUAUACAUCAUAACCUAGGUUCACUUGCUAGGUUCUAUGUCAUUUUCACCUAGAACUCGACUCUAGGUUUAAUUACUCGACCUAUGUCCAAUGACACUAGGUUUAUGUCAGACCUAUGUUUACUAACACUAGGUCAUGCCACUCGAUCUAUAUAUCAUCCUAGGUACUCUUGCCUAGGUUCAUAGUUUACAUAUUCUCAAUUACUUAUCAACAUCAAAGUUCUUUUAUCAACUAGAAUUAUCGACAUUCAUAUAGUUUAAACUAUAAUACAUUCAUAUGCAUCUAGCAUUCAUAUUCAUAUGCAUGUAGCAUUCAUAUUUAUCUGAUAACUAUCAUAUGUCAACAAUCAUAAUAUGUCAACCACCAUAUAUGCCUAUUCAUUCAUACGCAUCAAGCAUUUAUAUUCAUAUAUCGACAACUAUAUUCAUAUAUGCAUCAAAUGAAACCAUACUUUACUUUGACAUGGGAAGCGACCUAAUCGCUUCGGUAAGCACAACCCACCUUUACUUGAUACCGGAACGUGAGAAAUUCACUUCCCGCACUUUCCAAGAAUCGCGAUUUCGCGCUCGUGACAAUUGAUGCCGAAACCGUCCUUUUGGUGAUAUCUUCGCGUAGGCUCGACGAAUUGCCGAACCGACUUCGCCAACGUGUUCGUUUUACCCUCAAUUAGGUUUGUACGCGAUCAAUUCCAAGUUAGGGUCUCAAUCCUGCAAAAGUGCAUUAUCGAGCUUAGGUUCAAUACACUAACUCUCUAAUUAAUACAUCCUGUUUCUAUACAGGUUCUAUAAGAACCUAUACUACAACUCUAACUACUUAAGAGCUUCAACCAAUUACUCAGGAAUAUUAGAGCUUACCUCCUGUUAUAUGUCAUUCCUAAAGCUACCAAUCAGCCCGAAGGUUCACAUGUUAUACUUCUAACAUGCAGCUUUUCGACUAAACUUCAUGGCAGCAUAAGCUCCAUCAUUGAAAGGCUUUAGAGUCUGAGAGCUCUAUCUACUACUCCACAAUCAUUCCUUUAACGACCAGGAAUUAAAAUUCACUUACCCAACAACCAAUUCACAUGUAUAUUUACAUACAUGCAUGCUGUCCACACUCAACUCUUUAGGAUUCUCCAAGGUAAACAUGCUUUAGUAAGCAAGAAACCUGAGCCACAUCCAAUUCGGGGUGAUUAGAACUAGCCCUAACAUAAAACAUAACCAAUCUUAUCAUAGGGCUACAACAAUUACUCAUAGGUACAUACAUGCAUACUCACACACAUAUGCUGCCAGCAUAAUUCUCAACACCUUUUCUCAACUUUCUUAUGACAAUAGAGGUUCUAACAACCUAGAAACCAAUUAAAAUCAGAUCUAGGGUAUAUACUAUCAUCUCUAAUAAAAAGAUAUCAAUCAUUUACCUCCGAUUUUCCUCGCUUCCUCAAGUUCUUCUGCUGCUGAAAUUCUUUGCAGCACAAAGCUUGAAUCCACCAAGAAAUCCCCUCCACAUAGCUCUCUUGAGAGAGGAGAAGAAAGGAAUAAGAAAAAGAAGAGGAAAGCUAGCUUCCUUUUUAUCCUCAAGCUUCCUCGCAGCCAAGCUUCCUCGCAGCCAACAACCUCGACUCCGCACGUUCUCCUCAGAUCAAACCAUCAAGAACCCAACCUCUUCCUCAAGAAUCUGCCCAAGAAGCCCUCUCGUACGGUUUAGAGGUUUAGAGAGAGAGAGAAAAGGAAAGAAAAUGGAAAAGAAUAAAGAGAAAAUGGAGAGAGAUGGCCUAAUACGUUUCUAAGUGCUGGGGUUAAAUGAUAAGACCAAAAAAUUGCAAUUUAACCCUUCACAAAGGCAAAAGUGCAUUGUAAUCCUGCAGUUUACAAAACAGUCCCUGCACUUUCGCAAUUCAGUCCCUGCAGGUUCGCAGUUCAGUCCCUGCACUAACAACAGGCUGGCAGCAGCAAUUUGAAGCCUUUUUGCGCGUUGAACUCGUUCCGAAACCUCUUAAACUCUUCCAUUGGAUGCCCAUGAACCUCUACAAGCUACCAAUUUAAUCCAAGAACAAUUCACUUUCAUUUUGGCAUCAUUGUGAUCAAGGUGAGCAAGAUUUGCAACACAAUCAAGCUCCAAUACUUUGCAUAGCAGCAGCACAAUUGGAGGCCUUUUUUUUUUUUUCACUUCCAUCUUGCUCCAAACCCCUCUAAAUACUUUCUAAACUCAUAUUUAACUUUCCCCACACUUUCAAAUUAACUCGGGGACAUCACACAUUAUCCUCUAGCCUCACUUUGAUCUAUUUAAUCAAAGUUAGCGUCGCAAUCCAAAAAUUCCUCUCUCUACAGGUGUCAGAAAAAUCUGAAACUUCAAAUCUAGCCUCAUAAAACUGUUCCUGACAUCUCUGCCAAUUUUUAUAAUUUUCUGACAUUGUGCAUUUUCUGCUAAUUUUCUCGGUCCCGUUCUUUACAGAAAAUUCUAAAUUUUCCGUUUUCACUCCGAUUUCAUCCAAACACUUCCAAAAUAUACCAAGGGACCUUCACAAGCUACCCAUGUAAUUUGGAAGCAAUUCCUUUUCAUUUUGACAUUAUUUGAGCCGAAUUAGCAAUAGAAUCGGCUCCAAUUUCAUUACAUGGUAGCGAUUUCUCCUUUUUACACUACCACUUCGCACUGAGCUCGUCAAAACCCUUUGAAAACACACCCUUGGCUUUUCCAAAACUUCACAAUUGAUUCGGAGAUACCACAAUGUAUCCUUCCGCCUUACUUUAAUUCUUUUAAUCAAAUUUAGCGUCGGAAAUCUGAAAUUCUCUUUAUAUUUCGUUUCGCGCCCAAUUUGCGCCGAAACACUUAUUUAUCUCCAGAAAUCACAAUUCACUCGAGGAUGAUGUCCAACUAGUUCAAUCCUCACUUUGAUCCCUUAGGGCAAAGUUGACAUCGCAACUCCAAGUUUCCAUAUGUUACAGAGUCACUCCACCGUUUCACGUUUACUACGAGUCCCAUUCUUCGUCCAAGAACCAUCGCUAGCGAUUUGCUAGUACUACUUGGCUUUCUACUUGCUCCAGCAGGCGUUACACUCUUACGAUGCAAGCAUACUCGGGUGCCUACCUACCCGACCGCCCGGUCCCUACUAUGCGAUUUGUAAUUAGUAGGUGCUGAUCAUAUGCUAAAUGCAUGCAAUGCAUCAAUUUGAGACUACGCAAAAGCAUAUGCUUAUGUAAUUAACUCAUACCUGCAACGGCAUCAUCAAUGGCAGCAGGUUCAUCAACCUGGGUCGCAUAUCCCUGGCCACUUGGUGCUCGCCGCGAACCCUCCGGUUGCAUCGUCCUCAACGGCCACUCCCCCGACCAUGCCGCAGGUGGCACACCUGCAGGCUGUCCCAGAGAGGAAUGGGCCGUCGCUGGCCUCAAGGCCUGACUCUCACCUCGCGGGCACUCGUCCCGCAUAUGGCCUGGCUGUCCACAACGAAUACACCGUCCAUCACGCAGCGCACACCGCCGCGCCUGGUGGGAACCGCCACAAAUCACAUAUCCGGAGGAGGAUCGGGUAGAGGAUGACCUCGAGCGGUAUCUGGAACUCGACUGACCACCCGAACCACUCGAUAAUGGCCUCGCCCCUCCUCGCUCAUGCCUACGAGAUUCGCGCUCCUCACGCACGAAAGCCUCGCCAUGCUCUGCCCACAAUGCUCGGUCCAACACCUUCGCAAAGGUUGUGAGCUGGAAGAUUUGCACCCUCCUAUAAAUCUCCGGUCGAAGUCCACGCAGGAACCAAUCGGCCUUAUCCUUGUCAUCCCGUACCACAUCCGGGACACAAUUCACGAUACGGGAGAAUUCCCGUUCGUAUUCCCUCACAGAGCGGUCUCCUUGCCGCAGCUUCCUGAACUUGUCCCGAAGCUUUCUCCUCUCCGUGUCGGGGAAGUACGUAGAAAACAUUAAUCCCCGAAAUUCAUCCCACGCCAUAGGAGGAAGACUAGGCGAUCGAUCCCGUCGAAUGCCUUUCCACCACGCCUUUGCUGAUUGCUUCAAGCAAUGCACAGCUAGGGGCACCUUGUCCCGCUCCAAGGUGUAUAGCUCCUCGAAGAGCGUUUCCAUGGAGUCAAUCCACAUCUCCACGAUCCACGGGUCGACAUUCUCUCCAUCGAAAGUAGGCGGAUCAAAUUUCUUGAAAGUCAGUAGGGCCGCCAAAGUCCGUUCUUUCUCCGCCUCUAAUUCCAUAGAACCAGGGGCCACCGCCCCCGAAUCCAUCGCGACUCCUGCCGGUACACGGCACGCUGCUACCGGCGCAGCCGCCGCAGGCUGUCGUGUCAACAAUUCAUGGAGCUCCUUGAUUUGCUCCCCCUGUCGCUGCACUAUGCCCAUGAGCGUAUUCACUUGCUCGCGGAGCAUCGGGUCUCCGCUCGCCUCAGCUUGCUCAGGAACACCGCUUGUCCCUUCCCGCGCCGAUCUGGAUGAGGAUCGCCUUCGCGGUGCCAUCGCUUCCUGAAACACGACAACUCGAUUAGUUCUCGACCAACUUGGGUCGAACACGAGACCACAAACAACGGCUCAAAAGCCAAUCAGGCGAAAGUCACGCGAGGGCAUCUAUUCUCAUCACUAGGUUUCAUGUUGUCGUACGCCAACAUGAACAUCCUCGGCUGAGAAUAAACCACACCUCAAGUCUACUUCUAAUAUCCGUCUUAGAGGUUUACGACACAACCCAAUCCAUUAAUCUUUCGCCACAAAUCAUAGGUCCUCGUCUCUCACGAGCCUUAUUCUCCUAUGGUUUACUAUCCUAGGUCUCCUAGGUCCGGCUAAACCAUUUUCUUUUCCCAUUUUCUACUUUAUGCUCUGAUACCACUUUAUCUGUCAUGCCCCGAGACCGCUCCCAAUUUGGUCCGGUUCGGGCACGCCGACAGACCGCCGAACGGACCAGGGUUUCCCCUGUACGCGGACAGAGUCUCCCCUGUACGUUCUAGGCGUCGCAAUCCAAACAAUGUACCUCACAAUGGUUCCAACCAGGAACAGAUAUUCAAUCAUAGAUUGCAAAUGGAAAGGUAUCAAUCAACAUAAACACAUCCUAUGAUAUUACAUCCAUUCAUUUUACAUCACAAUUCCAUUACAUUCAACUUCCAAUACAAUUAAGUUAUUACAACAUUUAUUGAUUAUAUUUGCUUGCUUUCAUUUUCUAUACCCCUAAGCUACGUUGACGGGGUACUGCUAGCUCUGGUCUCUGGGGGUAGGGCGCUAUCUAUGGAGCUACGCCCUUGCCUCGCGCCGCCGCGCCGCUAACGUGCGAACCUGUAAAACCCCAAAACAACGUGGGGUGAGAACCAACUCCAUGGUUCCCAGUGAGUACGGUCACCCAAGGGAGGAGCUCGACCGACAGGUCCAAGGGAGGCAAAUACAAGUUAGUCCAAUAAACAGAUAGAUAUGUAUAUCAUAAACAUGCAACUAACUUUACCUUGCUUUGCCUCACAACUGCAAUGAUGUCAUAAUAUGCAACAGGAAUAUAUGCAACAACUAGUAGAAUUACUGAUUCUACAAUCAAUCUCGCUAAUCUUAGCUCAUGUCAUCCAACUCUAAGGUUUCUACUACCUUAGGUUUAUCACAUUUACCAUUAGCCCUCAAGGUUCUAUCUACCUUAUUCCAGCUAGCCACCCGACUCAGCCUCGAGUCAAUCAAUAGCGGAUAAUCCGCGCUCUGCCCGGCUCGAGGUGAAGGAUCCUGUCGCAUGCACCUCAGCCUGCAAGCCAAGAACCACAUCGCCCAACGGUCCGCCCGAAGGUCCGUGCACCGUGGUCAGGGAUCCGCUAGUGGGAGAGGAAACAUAGCCGCGUACACCCAUAGCCAAGAUCCCCGAUAGGGAGAGGAACAUGCCGUGCACCCUAGCGCUCUUUGUUCUUGCUUAGUCAUAAUCCCCAAAGUUCUUUCCGGUGGGAGAGGAACAUCGCCACAUACACCCGCGGUCCAAGAACUAUUGAGUUCACAAGUACUAGGAUUCCGGAAUCGACUUCACAAGUCAAGGGUCCAUAUCCAACCCUAUACUAUUGACCUAUCUAGGUCCAAUGCACUUUCCACCCUAGGUCCAACCGACUCUAGGUCUAAUGCCUCAACUUCACAACCUAGGUUUACCUUAACUCUAAGUUCAGUUCUCAACCUAUGUUCUUUAACACUAGGUUAGAUGCCACACACCUAGAUCCCGACUCUAGGUUCAUACUCAACCUAUGUUCUUUAACACUAGGUUAGAUGCCACUCGUUGUUUAUCCUAGGUUCAACAACACUAGGUUCAAUGUCAUCUAUGUUCGACCUAUGUUUAUUAACACUAGGUUAAUGCCACUCGAUCUACCUGAUAUCCUAUUUGUCAUAUAGAGUACUAUAGAUAUCCACAUUUCAUCUCGCAUACAUUUUAUGAUGCCAAUAUGCAUUUACUAUCUAGCAUGAACUCAUAAUGCUAAGUGCAACUAGCAUAUAUUCCAAAUACACACAUACAUAUCAUUUUACAUGGAUCUACUUAGCAUUUGCAUCAUAUUAUUAACAUGCAUUAUUUACAUUUAUAUGCAUCAUCUAUAUGCCUCAUUUACAUUCAUAUGCAUCAACGUGGAUUCUUAAUCAUCUUAGACAUAAAGGGCGACCUAGUCGCUUCGGUAAACACAACCCACCUUAACUUACUCUCCGAUUGCUCGUAGUCACUUGCAAUCGGCCGCCCGCGGCACUCGGCACCCGUUUGGGCCCGAUCUCACAGUUGCUCUCCAAGAGCGCGUCGCUUCGCCGUUUCAAGUCCUAACGAUCUUCGCCUCGCCGUUACGAUGCUCGGGACCCAAUUUCACGAUUUAUGGAUGUCGCCUCGGCCCUCCAGGCGGAAACGAAGCUCCAAGCAUCCGUUUCUUCAAUAUCUUUGUAACGGCUCGUCGGAUUGUCGAACCGUCUUCGCCAACGUGUUUCGUUACCUAUCAAUUAGGUUUACAGAGGGUUAUUUGAGAUCAAACCCAUCUAUUUACAAAAAUUCCAUUUUUGAGCCCUAGUUUGCGACUACGGCAAAAUACCCCAAAUCGAUCUCCGAUUCAUGCAAUAGACAUCUAUCUAGCAUCAAAGGAGCCCACUAAUUUCACUUCUAGAGCAGAACCAAAUCCGAAACAAUGUUAGACUACUCAGUUGAGCCCUAACAGUAUUAUUUUGCAACUAGUACUUUUUAUCAUUCUAUCGAACAAAGAGUAAAACCUAAUUAAAUUGUUCUAUUAUGCCCCGAGAGUGUAAAUUUAGAACGAAUCGCUGUCAACGUUCACAGGAACAAAAACCGGAACAACAUGAGAGUACUGAGUUGCGCCAUAAUAGUAUAACAUUGCAACGAGUACUUUUUCUCAUUCUAUCGAAUAAGGAGUAAAAGUUUUCUAUUAUGCCCCGAGAGAGUAAAUUUAGAACGAAAUGACGUCAACGUUCACAAGAACCAAAACCGAAACAACGUUAGACUACUCAGUUGAGCCCACAUAUUAUAAUUUUGCAACUAGUACGUUUUCUCAUUCAAUCGAUCAUAGAGCAAAACCUAAUUAUAUUGUUCUAUUUUGCCCCGAGAGUGUAAAUUUGAAACGAAUCGUUGUCAACGUUCACAAGAAUCAAAACCUGAACAACGUUAGUCUACUCAGUGGAGCCCUAACGGUAUAACAUUGCAACUAGUACUUUUUCUCAUUCAAUCGAACAAAGAGUAAAACCUAAUUAUAUUGUUCUAUUAUGGCCCAAGAGUGUAAAUUUGGAACGAAUCGAUGUCAACUUUCGCAAGACCAAAAGCGGAACAACAUUAGACAACUCAGUUUCGACCUAACAGUAUAACGUUGCAACAAGUAGUUUUUCUCAUUCUAUCGAACAAAGAGUAAAACCUAAUUAAAUUGUUCUAUUAUACCCCGAGAGUGUAAAUUUGGAACGAAUCGAUGUCAAUAUUCCCAAGAACCAAAACCGGAACAACAUUAGACUACUCAGUUGCUCCAUGACAGUAUAACUUUGCAACGAGUACUUUUUCUCAUUCUAUCAUACAAGGAGUAAAAGCUCUCUAUUAUGCCCCGAGAGUGUAAAUUUGGAAGGAAUCGAUGUCAACGUACACAAGAACCAAAACAGGAACGAGGUUAGACUUCUCAGUUGAGCCCUAACUGUAUAACUUUGCAACUAAGGAUUUGGCUUAAUCCUUAGCUUUAAGAGUUCUAGUAGCCUCUAAUAGUCAUUUGUAGCAUAUUGCUCCAAUUAAUUCGGAGUAUUUGGAGGUUAUUUCAUGUUAAGGCUCCAAAAUACUAAUUUUGAAAAUAUGAGGGUUUGAUCUAAUUUGACCCUCCAUAAACCUAAUUGAUAGGUCACUGAACGCGUUGGAAGCGACGGUUCGGCGAUUCGUCGAGCCGGUGCAAAGUUAUUAAAGAAACGGACGUUUAGGCUUCAUUUCCGCCUGGAGGGCCGAGGCGACGUCGUAAAAUCCUGGAAACGGAUUUGAAGCAUCGUAAUAGGAAACCGAAGACCUUUAAUUUUCGGAUCGCGGAUCAGAGGUCGUUUGGUGGUCGCGCGCGGAUUGGGUCAAGCCGAGCGGCGUGUGCCGCGUGAGGCCGAUUGCAAGUGACGACGAGCAAUCGGAACGCGAUAAAAGGUGGGUGGUGUCCAUCCCGAAUCAAUCGGGCUCCCUUUUAUGUCUAAGUUUUAUAUUGAUCAAAUUGCAUAUUGACAUCUUGCAUUAUAGGGUGAUAAAUGAUGGUUUGGUCCUAUACCUUGCAUGUUCUUUGGUAGAAUAAUGUAUUUGGCUUCAUACUUAUAUAUAUAGCAUGCUUGAGGUUUAUAUAUGUGAUGUGGAACCCUAUAAUGAGAUGAGAGUGUGGAUGAGAAUUUAGCUAAUGCAUUGGCUAUUCAUUGGAAACUUGUA
rnacentral:lncRNA from 1 species